AACGAACGCUGGCGGCAUGCCUAACACAUGCAAGUCGAACGAGAUCUUCGGGUCUAGUGGCGCACGGGUGCGUAACGCGUGGGAAUCUGCCCUUUGGUUCGGAAUAACAGUUGGAAACGACUGCUAAUACCGGAUGAUGACGAAAGUCCAAAGAUUUAUCGCCAGAGGAUGAGCCCGCGUAGGAUUAGCUAGUUGGUGUGGUAAAGGCGCACCAAGGCGACGAUCCUUAGCUGGUCCGAGAGGAUGAUCAGCCACACUGGGACUGAGACACGGCCCAGACUCCUACGGGAGGCAGCAGUGGGGAAUAUUGGACAAUGGGCGAAGGCCUGAUCCAGCAAUGCCGCGUGAGUGAUGAAGGCCUUAGGGUUGUAAAGCUCUUUUACCCGGGAUGAUAAUGACAGUACCGGGAGAAUAAGCUCCGGCUAACUCCGUGCCAGCAGCUGCCGUAA
rnacentral:rRNA from 1 species